GGGGUGGGGGGGUCCAGGGUGAGACCUUCAAGAUGGAUUUGAUGUUACUGUUAUUCAGUUUGCGGGUAGAGGAUGUGAUUCCAGCAAUACAGAGACGACGCCGAUGACAAGUGAGAUGCAUGUGAAGCAAUAUUAGGAGCUGCUCACAUGAUCACUGGAAGCAUAUAAAGGACUGAAUUAUGCCAUUGUUGAUGGUGCACGGGUCUGUUGCAUGGUAACGUCAAUGCAAAGCAGUUCUCCACACCAGCACUCAGGAGCAAAGAUUUGAGAGGCAGGGAUGGAUUGCUCAAGUGGAAACAAAGCAAGAAUCAGAAGGAGCUCAAUAUUUUUCUACUACAUUACUAAUAGCUUUGUGAGCAGCGAGGGUCACAACUAACGGUGGAGAUCGAGCUAAUGAUCUCACAAAAACUUCUAUGGGUUCAUCAAAGAUGAAGGAGGUUAGUUUUUACCUGAGCGGCAACACCGGCCGCCAUGGUCUUGCUGGAGCCUACCUAGCCGUGGUAAGUCACCAGCUUCAGGUAGUGUAGGCACAGCCAGAAAAAACGCCAUGGGGUGCAGCCUUGCAAGGGCGCAUCAGGCUGGGCCUCCUCUAUUUCCGAUGAGUUCAUCCUAUUUUCUUUCUCCUUCACUAGCAUUCUUUUUUAUGUAAUUAUUUCAUUUAUCCAUGACAUCGACCAUCCUAUGUUUCAGUUAUGAAGUAAUGAACAAAUGUGUCGUGCAAUGCCUGUAGGAAAGAGUUUAAAUUAGUUGUUCCAGUCUUUGCCUAUACCUUUAUGGACAGUAGGCUUAACUCUUUUGAACUAUAAGUUCUUUGAUGCUAGGUACAAAGUUUAUGAUUAACUGAAAUCAGAUAACACAGAGUAUCAAAUUCAGUUUCACUUAUUGGAGUUGUUGUUCUAUGUUUGCUGCAUUGCAUUCUUAUCAAGUCGUUCUUAUCUAACCGAUUUUGUAGGUCCAUACUGUUUCUUAUAUGCACUUUUUCCCAUGUAUUUAGUUGAGAGAAAUAUUCUUGGGAGAACAGAGAUGUGAAAACCCACCAGAUUAGUUUAUGGUGCAACAAUUAUUUCUUGAUUUGUUGAGAUAAGCGAGGCUCUUCAUGUAUGCUUUGUUAUUAAACAAAAUUGUAGUUCUUCUGAUACAUAGAUUGUUGGCAUUAAAAAUCAUAGCCUCAAUUACUUUUGAAGCAUAAUAGUGCCUUAUGAUUUUUUUAUCUGUCCACUUUCAAAAUACUUAUUUCCUAUGUCGACACUAUUAAUCAGUUCUUUGGUUCAUAUCUUCUCUAACAUGUUCAUGCUCCUUCCCAUACACGCUACAUAAUCUCAAAGAGUUUCUAAACCCAUUUGUGGAACACAUGGUCAUCAAAAUCACAUGUGGAUGUGUUCAGAUGCAAGUUCGGGCUAAUUGGACUAACUUUGUCUAGGCGGCAAGGUUUAAUCAAGUGACAUGUGUGUCUUUGUUUUUGAAGGCAAAGAUGGCACACUGUGAGCCAGUGUGCAUAACCUUUCAUAAAGUCUUAAAUAGAUCCAACUAUCAAUGUACAUAAACCAGAAGACAAUAGGACAAGCAUAUCCAUAUGAUAUAGCUAGCUAUGUAGUUUGCUUUAUAAAGGCAGUGUAAAUGAGCUGUCGCAAACUACAUUCGUAGCUUUCUUUCGAUGUAAGUUGUUGUUUUUCUUCUAUCGAGCUGCCCAUUCUAUUACCAGGCAGGAUAUGCCUGAGACAAUUAUGUAUAAAGAUGCUAUCUAAGUCUUGCAUGGUAUGCCUGAACCAUGAUGUUAUCAUGAUGGAUAAAUAAAUAUGCCAUCUAAGUAUCUCCUCCAUACUAUUUAAAUAAGCUACAUAUGUCUGAUUAUGUAUAAAGAUGCCAUAUAAAUACCAGCUUUCAUAAGGUCCAAUGUUUGGUUUGCUUUGGCUACUUGCGCGAGUGGUGCAAUGGGCCUUCGAUGACAACCCAUCGAACACACCUACCAUAAAGAGUUGCUUGGACGAUCUGGUCAUUUUUCAUAUCGAUGAAAAUGCAGCGAUGGCUAUCUAAUGUCGACAACUACAUGUUUUGGUCAUACAUAGCAGGAGAAGAUUAAAAAAACAUAGGUUGGAAGAUGAGAGCUAUCUAUAUGAUAUAUGGCUACCAAUAUAGCUUGUUUUGCUUACCAUGAACUGAUUUCAUGGCUUUUUCUUGGGUCUUUGUAUCAUCACUAAGCAUCUAUGUACCAGCAAUAGGUACUUAUUUUUAUAUGUUUCAAUAUGUGCUCGAAUAAUAUUAAUGUACACUCUUUCAAUACAUGGCUUGCUCUUGGCCUUUGCGCCAUGGCGCAACGGAUCAUCUAGUUUACAAAAAAACGAACGAGCCAAACCAAAUGGACAAAACAUGGACAAUGUACGUUUCCAUUUGAAUCACGCGGUUGGAGUUGCUCUAAAGCAGCCUCCUUUCUGCCUAAAUACAUGAUGCGGUGCAACGAUACAAGGAGAUAACACGCUAGGAUACAAAGGAAUUUCGAAUACCCAUAGCACACCAAUUUCCACUUGGCCACGAUAAAGGCCUACCUAAUGCUUGGCUGUCAUUGGCAUUUUUCACCGCUAGCGUCUAUAUAUUUGAAGUAGUACCUCAUAAUGGGUCGUACAAUACUUAGGCAAACAUGUAAAAGUUUAAUUUUUGAAAAAAUUAAUACAUCUUACAUUUUGAAAUAGAUGGAGUAGGUAAUAGGAAUGUGAAGAGGUUGGGCAUGAGAGGGUGGGUGCAUGUAGUUGUAUGCGCAUGAUAUAAAGGGGCUAUGUGUUCUAUUCUCGUCUGAUCUACUUGUUACAUGUUACUGUUAUUAUUAGCUACUUCCUUCGUUCCUUUAUACUUCCUCUGUAAAGAAAUAUAAGAGUGUUUAAAUCACUAUUUUAGUGAUGUAAACGCUUUUAUUCUUGUUUACGGAGGAAGUAUAAGAGAGAUGUAUUUGUUUUCUAUAUAAAUUUUCACAAUGUAAGCUGUGUUUAUUUGGAAAGUCAUUGAGAGGUGGGACAGUUUGGGAGGGUUUGGGGAAAUACCUUUGGGGGGAACCAGAAAUGAAAGGAAAAAGGUCUAAACGGUAGAGGGAAGGAAAGACGUAAAUAAGGUUUAACAAAUAGACGACGCAACCUUAGAUUUAUUUUAAGUAAGAAAGAAGAGAGAUAAGGGAAUGGACGUUUGGCUCCCGAGCACCAUGAAGGCCUUCAAAUUUAAAAUUCAAAUUUCAUGAAAAUUCAUAUUUUUACGUUUCAAAAAAUUCUAAAAAAAUACAUAAAUAUGUGAGGAUGUAACACACAUGUGUGUAAAUUUUCAGGGCAAAAUAAGUUAAAAUGAGGGUUGUGCAAAAAAUACAAAUCUAAAGAUUUUUAACACAUGAUACUAUUCAUCCUCUAGGGUCAUGAAUUUGUCUUUUUUUAUACAGAUUGCAUUUCAACGUUUUUCAUCCUGAAAUUUUACACACAUAUACAUAACAUCCUUGUUUACUAGCAUAAUUGUUUUUCAGAUUUUUUUAAAAACCGAAAAAAUUGAAUUUUGAAUUAUUUUCAAAAAAGGCCUCCAUGGUGCUCGGGAGCCAAAAGCAAUUUCCGGAGAGAUAAUGCCUUCAGUUCUUCUUGGCAAUAUAAUAGAUCCCUUUACUCUUACAGACAAUAGACAAAGCACAUUCUCUCGGUCCGAAGGAAGUUGUGAACGUGCAUCAUUCUUAGCCUGGAAGUAAAAGUGACGACUCUCCAUGACGACUCUACACCGUGUCAAGCUCGUGAGAUUUAUGAUCCCGUGACUACAAUUCUAAAGGCGGUUCUCCAUGCGGUUCGAGGAUGGAUAUACAACUGGGUCGCGUGAGUUGUGUACAGAGGGUGGACUUGCAACUUGUACGUGCGAGUAGAGUAUCGAUGAUGGGCAUUCCAGUUGCAUAUUGAUGGAUAGACAUGCAAAUUAUCAUGUAAUUGUGUGUAAGGGUGGACAUGUAGCUGGAGAAGGGGGCAUCUUAGGUAUUUGUUUCCAUAUGAUGGGAAAACGAAACAAGUGAAACAAAAAAAGAUUGUGGGUUCAAAACAAGAAUUUAAAAA